rnacentral:misc_RNA from 1 species
GAAACUUGGCAACGUGAUUGAGAGAUCAAACACAAAUUAAUCCAAGAUCUAUAGUGGGUUUUAUUUAUUUUUCUAUUAUGAUACUCAUUCAUAGUAAACCACACACAAUUCUUCAAACCCCCAAGAUCUUCAUGGUGAGAAGUUCUUGGGCUUGAGCAAGAAUCCACACAGCUUGCCAAUUUCUUUUCCCCAGGGUCUUGUUUGCUGCUGAGAUUGGUACACAAAGAGGAAGCACAGCCAAACUUGCAGAAGUAAUGGGUUUGUUCUUUGCCACUUAAAGAUGUGAUGGAAGAUGGAAAGAUGCAAUCUUUCAAGCACUUACUACCACAUGAACAGAGAGAAUUACCAGGAGUAAUUACACAUAGAAGGAAGCAACCCUUGUAGCAGUCACUGAAAGAAGCAGCAGUACACUGCCCUACAGCCAUGCCCAACACCACAAAAACCACCAUAAGAAACCUAGCUCUUCUCUCCUCCAUUGCCUUCAAUUCUCUUUCUAGACCAGUAGGAGAGAGGAUAUUAUGAC